rnacentral:tRNA from 1 species
GCGGGAAUAGCUCAAUUGGUAGAGCACAACCUUGCCAAGGUUGGGGUCGCGAGUUCGAGUCUCGUUUCCCGCUCCA